rnacentral:siRNA from 1 species
GGGAUGCAACACGAGGACUUCC